AGUACUACAUUGAGACACAGGUUGUGCUUCCAUCACAGUAAUUUUAUUGCAGUGGUGACAGUGAGACCUGUAACAUUU